AGCCGGCCAUGUAAGGAGUUACCCUCAGUCUGAGAGGAAGUCUAGCGGGGAGAUUCCCUUAUCAACUAUGGCAUCUUGGGGAGUCACAUCCUCUAUGUGCAUAGUAUCUGCAUCACAGAGGUACAUGGAGUCAUCAGAUACACAGCAUGAGAACUACGUGUGAGGGCUUUUGCACCUCCUGCACUCUCAGAUGAACCCGAAGGUGGCAUUUUUCGAACAGAGAACAACUGUGAUAAAAGUCCAUCUGUGACCUAAGAGAAGCACUGAGAACAGCAAGGAGGUAGGAACAUCAAAAGCUGUACUUGGUCAGUUUUGAGACACAGAAGCUGAAACUGGGACAGUGGUCACCAUGCAGCAGGUGACCAGCUCAGUUCUCAGGUCAUCAAGAGAAUGAAGACAUUGCAGCCAGGUUCCUAACUUGGCUAAGGCACCAUGGUCAAGUGUCUGGUAUUGCCUUUGUGAUUAAAGUCAAACCAGUUUAUGGCAAAUAGUCAGUAUCUGAAACCACU
rnacentral:lncRNA from 1 species